rnacentral:rRNA from 1 species
UACGUAGGGGCCGAGCGUUGUCCGGAGUUAUUGGGCGUAAAGCGCGCGCAGGCGGCUUCGCGCGCCCGCCGUGAAAGCGCCCGGCUUAACCGGGCGAGGCGUGCCGAUACGACAAGACUGGAGGGGCAGCGAGGGUGGCGGAACUCCUGGUGUAGUGGUGAAAUGCGUAGAGAUCAGGAAGAACACCCGUGGCGCAAGCGGCCACCUGGCUGCCAACUGACGCUGAGGCACGAGAGCGUGGGGAGCGAACCGG